GAUGAACGCUGGCGGCGUGCCUAAUACAUGCAAGUCGAGCGAACAGACGAUGAUCUUGCUCCUCUGACGUUAGCGGCGGACGUGUGAGUAACACGUGGAUAACCUACUUAUAAUACUGGUAUAACUUGGGGAAACCGGAUCUAAUACCGGAUAAUAUAUUGAACCGCAUGGGGGAAUAGUGAGAGUCGGUUUUUCUGUCACUUAUAGAUGCAUCCGGGCCGCAUUAGAUGGUUGUUGAGUUAACGGCCUACCAAGGCAACGAUGCGUAGCCGACCUGACAGGCUGAUCGGCGACCCGGGAAGGUGGACACGGACAAGAGUACUACGGGAGGGAGCAGUAGGCAACCUUACGCAAUGGGCGAAAACAUGACGGAGCAAGGCCGCGUCAGUGAUGACGGUCUUCGGAUCGUAAAAAUCUCUUAUUAGGGAAGAACCAAUGUGUAAGUAAAUAUGCACGUAUUGACGGUAACUAAUAAGAAAGCAACGGCUAACUACGUG
rnacentral:rRNA from 1 species